rnacentral:rRNA from 1 species
GACAAGCCAAGCAAGGGCGUAUGGGGAAUGCCUAGGCUCUCAGAGACGAUGAAGGACGCGACAAGCUGCGAAAAGCUACGGGGAGAGGCACAUACUUUUUGAUCCGUAGAUAUCCGAAUGGGGCAACCCAGCAUACUGAAGGUAUGUUAUCCGUAAGGAAGUUAACCCGCUGAACUGAAACAUCUAAGUAGGCGGAGGAAGAGAAAACAAGAGUGAUUCUGCGAGUAGCGGCGAGCGAAAGUGGAACAGCCCAAACCGAAAGUGUUACGGCACUUUCGGGGUUGUAGGACCACGACAUCUGAUGCAUAACGAACCAGAACCAGCC